rnacentral:rRNA from 1 species
GGAUACCCGCUGAACUUAAGCAUAUCAAUAAGCGGAGGAA